UCCGGUUUGUCACCGGCAGUUUCUCCAGAGUGCCCGGCUCUACCCGAUGGCAACUGAAGAUGAGGGUUGCGCUCGUUGCGGGACUUAACCCAACAUCUCACGACACGAGCUGACGACAGCCAUGCAGCACCCGUGCUGGCUUCCCCUUGCGGGGCUCGUCGCCCUUUCGGGUUUCUACUACCAGCAUGUCAAACCCAGGUAAGGUUCUUCGCGUUGCCUCGAAUUAAACCACACGCUCCGCUGCUUGUGCGGGCCCCCGCCUAUUCCUUUGAGUUUCACCGUUGCCGGCGUACUCCCCAGGUGGAUUACUUAUCGCUUGCGCUAAGACGCUGACUGUGUAUCGCCAACAUCGAGUAAUCAACGUUUACAGUGUGGACUAC
rnacentral:misc_RNA from 1 species